rnacentral:rRNA from 1 species
UAACAGGCUUAUCUCCCCCAAGAGUUCACAUCGACGGGGAGGUUUGGCACCUCGAUGUCGGCUCAUCGCAUCCUGGGGCUGUAGUCGGUCCCAAGGGUUGGGCUGUUCGCCCAUUAAAGCGGUACGCGAGCUGGGUUCAGAACGUCGUGAGACAGUUCGGUCCCUAUCCGUCGUGGGCGUAGGAAAUUUGAGAGGAGCUGUCCUUAGUACGAGAGGACCGGGAUGGACAUACCUCUGGUGUACCAGUUGUCGUGCCAACGGCAUAGCUGGGUAGCUAUGUGUGGACGGGAUAAGUGCUGAAAGCAUCUAAGCAUGAAGCCCCCCUCAAGAUGAGAUUUCCCAACUUCGGUUAUAAGAUCCCUCAAAGAUGAUGAGGUUAAUAGGUUCGAGGUGGAAGCAUGGUGACAUGUGGAGCUGACGAAUACUAAUCGAUCGAAGACUUAAUCAAAUU